rnacentral:rRNA from 1 species
UUAAGUUGUUGCGGUUAAAAAGCUCGUAGUUGGAUUUUGGGCUCGGUCGUUCGGUCCGUCGCAAGGCGUGCACUGUUCGUUCCGGCCUUACCUUCGGUUUUUCGCCGGUGCUCUUGACUGAGUGUCGACGGCGACCGAGACGUUUACUUUGAAAAAAUUAGAGUGUUUAAAGCAGGCGGUUCGCCUGAAUAAUGGUGCAUGGAAUAAUGGAAUAGGACUUCGGUUCAUUUUUGUUGGUUUACGGAACGCGAGGUAAUGAUUAAGAGGGACAGACGGGGGCAUUCGUACUGUGCCGUUAGAGGUGAAAUUCUUGGAUCGGCGCAAGACGAACAACUGCGAAAGCAUUUGCCAAGAAUGUUUUCUUUAAUCAAGAGCGAAAGUCAGAGGUUCGAAGACGAUCAGAUACCGUCCUAGUUCUGACUAUAAACGAUGCCAACUAGCGAUCGGGGAGCGUUAUUUUGACGACCUCCCCGGCAGCUUGCGGGAAACCAAAGUCUUUGGGUUCCGGGGGAAGUAUGGUUGCAAAGCUGAAACUUAAAGGAAUUGACGGAAGGGCACCACCAGGAGUGGAGCCUGCGGCUUAAUUUGACUCAACACGGGAAAUCUCACCCGGCCCGGACACAGUAAGGAUUGACAGAUUGAGAGCUCUUUCUUGAUUUUGUGGGUGGUGGUGCAUGGCCGUUCUUAGUUGGUGGAGCGAUUUGUCUGGUUAAUUCCGAUAACGAACGAGACUCUGGCUUGCUAAAUAGUUACGCGACCUUCUCGGUCGGCGUUUAACUUCUUAGAGGGACUAGUGGCGUUUAGCCACACGAGAUUGAGCAAUAACAGGUCUGUGAUGCCCUUAGAUGUUCGGGGCGCACGCGCGCUACACUGACCGGAUCAACGUGUGUUCGCCUUGGCCGAAAGGUCUGGGUAACCCGGUGAACCCCGGUCGUGAUAGGGAUAGAGAAUUGAAAUUAUUUCGCUUGAACGAGGAAUUCCCAGUAAGCGGCAGUCAUUAGC